rnacentral:rRNA from 1 species
GAUGAACGCUGGCGGCGUGCUUUAACACAUGCAAGUCGAGCGAAGCGCUUGGAUUACUUCGGUUUGAAGAGUGACUGAGCGGCGGACGGGUGAGUAACGCGUGGGUAACCUGCCUCAUACAGGGGGAUAACAGUUAGAAAUGACUGCUAAUACCGUAUAAGCGCACAGGACCGCAUGGUCUGGUGUAGAAAAACUCCGGUGGUAUGAGAUGGACCCGCGUUGAUAGC